ACAAAAUCCAAUGUAUCUCCAUGAAGUCAAUCAAUCAAUCAUCAUUACACUGGACAGUGACGACAUUGAAGCGAAUCUGUAUCACCGAUAACAACGGGUCGUUUGAUCCAAGCCAACGAUCUGGUACUAGAAAGAUAACCAGGAUUUCUACUAUCUUACGAGGAGGGAUGGUGGGAAGCGGAAAAAUGUCAUGUUUAAUUAAAAAUAAAACCCUUAGCGCGCAGAAGACGAGCGCUGAGUGUUGUGGUGAGUGUAAUCGCCUUUGGCAAUGCGAAAAGCUGCGAUUUGAUAUCAGUCCCAAUUACGUGGCUGAGGCGCGUAACACUAACACACAACGCCGAUAGUCUCGAUUGUUGUCUCAAGUGCUACGCUCCCGCUGAUAGGUUAUCAUCGUUCAUCGUCUUCGUAGUUUGGAACGACCGUGUCCAACCGUGGAAGUGCCGUCUCGCAGUGUCCGGGCAGCGUGUCAACAGUUUACACAAGCCAGCCCAAUCAUGGCUUUUGGAGACGGCGAUUCCGUGUCAUCGAGCAAACUCCUUGCUGUGGUAGAGCCCUCCGACCAGGACAUUGCUAUCCAGCACGUGCCAUCGGCUGGCUCAUCGGUGGGAAUCGAUUUCCUGCUGCUUGUUUGCUUCCUGGUGAUGAUCUUGCUGGUCGGGUUCGUGUUGCGACUGUUUCUUCAAAUGUGGCGUGCCCGCAUCGAGUGCCAAUGGACGGAGGAUGCGGCCGUAGUACGGCGAUUAGUUUAGCGAGAUAGUGCAAAUUGCUGAACGCAUCGAGCGCUGCCGGAAGGGAGCGAGUGGCGGGAACAGGGCCGAAAGUGGGAAGUUGAUCUGUGAUAUUUGGUGCACUUGCGUCAUGGGCGAUCAUAAACCUGUGUGGUGUGAUUUUAUUGAAGGGUGAGACAUUAUUUUACUGCUCCGUUUAUUUCACUGCAGCCACGUAUGACGACACACACGCACACACUGUACUGUGAUAGAUGAUGUAGGGGGUUUGAAAGUAACGAUGGAUUGGAGUGUUCGAACCAGAAAACCAGCUGAUGGUGAUACGAGGAGAACUGAAAUUAAUAAAACGUCAGUAAAGUUGCUAACAAA